UACGGAGGGGGCUAGCGUUGUUCGGAAUCACUGGGCGUAAAGCGCGCGUAGGCGGUUUGAUAAGUUGGGCGUGAAAUCCCGGGGCUCAACCCCGGAACUGCGCUCAAAACUGUUAGACUAGAGUCCGGAAGAGGGUGGUGGAAUUUCCAGUGUAGAGGUGAAAUUCGUAGAUAUUGGAAAGAACACCAGUGGCGAAGGCGACCACCUGGUCCGGUACUGACGCUGAGGUGCGAAAGCGUGGGGAGCGAACAGG
rnacentral:rRNA from 1 species